ensembl:snoRNA LOC120103327 small nucleolar RNA SNORA17
CCUGUCCCUGCAUGUAUAGCUGCUGUGUCAUGUGUGUCAGUAGGUGGUCGAGAGGAAAGAGACUAUGUCAAUGCUCAGGGUUCUGACCUGUGAAUAUCUGAAUGAUUAGUAGCUUAACCCU